CCUGCGAGUCUUUGCAGUAAUGCAAGGCAUACGGCUCAGUAACACGUAGUCAACCAACCCUAUGGACAAGAAUAAUCUCGGGAAACUGGGCAUAAUUCUUGAUAGAUCAUAAUGCCUGGAAUGGUUUAUGGUUAAAAUGAUUCGUCGCCAUAGGAUGGGACUGCGGCCUAUCAGCUUGUUGGUGAGGUAAUGGCCCACCAAGGCGAUUACAGGUACGGGCUCUGAGAGGAGAAGCCCGGAAAUGGGUACUGAGACACGGACCCAGGCCCUAUGGGGCGCAGCAGGCGAGAAAACUUUGCAAUGUGCGAAAGCACGACAAGGUUAAUCCGAGUGAUUUCUGCUAAAGAAAUCUUUUGCCAGUCAUAAAACCACUGGUGAAUAAGGGGUGGGCAAGUUCUGGUGUCAGCCGCCGCGGUAAAACCAGCACCUCAAGUGGUCAGGAUGAUUAUUGGGCCUAAAGCAUCCGUAGCCGGCUUUGUUAGUUUUCGGUUAAAUCCAUGUGCUCAACGCAUGGGCUGCCGAAAAUACUGCAUGGCUAGGGAGUGG
rnacentral:rRNA from 1 species